rfam:Canis lupus familiaris chromosome 21, whole genome shotgun sequence.
ACUCAACAUAAUACCACCCUGAAAGCACCCGAUCUCCUCUGAUCUCAGAAGCUAAGCAGGGUUGGGCCUGAUUAGUACUUGGAUGGGAGACCAGCUUUGUAUCCUUGAAUGGGCUGGGGU